rnacentral:rRNA from 1 species
GAUGAACGCUGGCGGCGUGCCUAAUACAUGCAAGUCGAGCGAACAGACGAGGCGCUUGCUCCUUCGACGUUAGCGGCGGACGGGUGAGUAACACGUAGGUAACCUACCUAUAAGACUGGGAUAACUUCGGGAAACCGGAGCUAAUACCGGAUAAUAUUUCGAACCGCAUGGUUCGAUAGUGAAAGAUGGCUUUGCUAUCACUUAUAGAUGGACCUGCGCCGUAUUAGCUAGUUGGUAAGGUAACGGGUUACCAAGGCAACGAUACGUAGCCGACCUGAGAGGGUGAUCGGCCGCACUGGAACUGAGACACGCUCCAGACUCCUACGGGAGGCAGCAGUAGGGAAUCUUCCGCAAAGGGCGAAAGCCUGGCGGAGCGACGCCGCGUGAGUGAUGAAGGUCUUCGGAGCGUAAAACUCUGUUAUUAGGGAAGAACAAACGUGUAAGUGGCUGAGCACGUCGUGACGGUACCUGAUCAGAAAGCCACGGCUAACUACGUG